rfam:Stegodyphus mimosarum contig45955, whole genome shotgun sequence.
GCUUUCGUGGUGUAACGGUUAGCACACUCGGCCCGCAUUCGAGAGGUCCAGGUUCGAAUUCCGGGGAGGGCA